UGUAAACAAAACAUUCGGUCCAUUUAACUCAGCGCUCCGUCAUAGCUGGAGCGCUUCCUUCUGUCAGGAGGAUCCAAGUGAAGCGACAGGAGUUUCAUUAACGUCAAUAACUUGGACCGACCAGUUUGUUUUGCUUGAUGAAGAGCAGGAAGGGCAGCCUGGAGAGAAAGAGAAGCCGGGUUGAGCCCACUACCAUCAUCCACGUACCACGAGGAAGAUGAGGGAGAGAAAUGAUCCUACCAUUAAAGAGACUGUGAAAAGAGCGUUGAGAACAUCACCACUCUACAGGAAGACACAGUCCAGUAAUGGGUGUCAGAAGUUCAGUAGUGAACGACAGGCAGCACUGAGGUAUUGACUGAGACGGGACGUGAGGGCCUACUCUGCGUGCUCAGAGUUCAAGCCCAGCAGGCUGCAGCGGGCCUGACAUAUUCCGGAACAGCAGCACAGUCUUUGGAUGACUCCUCUGAAGAGGAAAACAUGGCGAGGUACUUCUCCACUGAUGAAGAACUGUGAGGGCUGUGAUUAGCUACACUCUCUUGCUACAAGGCUACUCUUGCUACUCCCUGGCAGCCUUAGGAAGGCAUUAGCUUGCUGUUGGGUAGCUGUUAGCUUCAGCAUUUUUUGUUUUUAGCGGCCUG